rnacentral:snRNA from 1 species
AUGUAAAAGACUUUCACAUCACU